UUUCUUUGCAGGCCGAGAUUGACAGAGGAAGAGGAUUAGCAGUUAUGUUGUUUCAAAUAGAAGCAAACAUUGAAAGUUUGGUUACUGUAUGCGCAAAGGUGGAUCUUAUUUUGGGUGUGCUGGGAUGGUCCAGUGGCUGCAGCUGGCCAAAAUCAACAGAUAAUGCUCAAUUUCUUGAGUGUUAAAGCUAAAGCACUCAUGUUCUUGGUCAUGAAGUUUUGUCAUGUUCUCUGGAAAA